rnacentral:rRNA from 1 species
UACGUAGGGGGCAAGCGUUGUCCGGAAUUAUUGGGCGUAAAGCGCGCGCAGGCGGUCAUGUAAGUCUGGUGUUUAAACCCGGGGCUCAACUCCGGGUCGCAUCGGAAACUGUGUGACUUGAGUGCAGAAGAGGAAAGUGGAAUUCCACGUGUAGCGGUGAAAUGCGUAGAGAUGUGGAGGAACACCAGUGGCGAAGGCGACUUUCUGGGCUGUAACUGACGCUGAGGCGCGAAAGCGUGGGGAGCAAACAGG